GGACCAGACUCCUACGGGAGGCAGCAGUAGGGAAUUUUGCGCAAUGGGGGGAACCCUGACGCAGCAACGCCGCGUGAUUGAUGAAGCCCUUCGGGGUGUAAAGAUCUGUCAGUGGGGACGAAACUUGACGGUACCCACAGAGGAAGCAUCGGCUAACUCCGUGCCAGCAGCCGCGGUAAUACGGAGGAUGCGAGCGUUAUCCGGAUUUAUUGGGUUUAAAGGGUGCGCAGGCGGAGGUGCAAGUCAGUGGUCAAAUUGCGGGGCUCAACCCCGUACUGCCGUUGAAACUGCAUCCCUUGAGUGCGCGAGAAGUAUGCGGAAUGCGUGGUGUAGCGGUGAAAUGCAUAGAUAUCACGCAGAACUCCGAUUGCGAAGGCAGCAUACCGGCGCGCAACUGACGCUCAUGCACGAAAGCGUGGGUAUCGAACAGGAUUAGAUACCCUGGUAC
rnacentral:rRNA from 1 species